UGCAUACUGGGAAGCCCAGGGCUUGGAGGCGGCGGCAGGAGAGAGCGGCGCGGCCAUUUUGUCUUCCUCCGAGAGGCCGCUGGAAGGCCUGCGGCUGGUGCCUGCUUCUCGCCUUUCUCUAGUUCGGUAGCGCCACCGCGAUGGGCCGGAAGAAGAAGAAGCAGCUGAAGCCCUGGUGCUGGUAUUGCAACAGGGAUUUUGAUGAUGAGAAAAUCCUUAUACAGCAUCAAAAAGCAAAGCACUUUAAAUGCCAUAUAUGUCAUAAGAAACUGUAUACAGGACCCGGUUUAGCUAUACAUUGUAUGCAGGUGCAUAAAGAAACAAUAGAUGCUGUUCCAAAUGCUAUUCCUGGAAGAACAGAUAUUGAACUGGAAAUCUAUGGUAUGGAGGGCAUUCCAGAAAAAGACAUGGAUGAAAGGAGAAGAUUACUUGAACAAAAAACUCAGGCAGAGAGCCAGAAGAAGAAACAACAAGAUGAUUCUGAUGAGUAUGAUGAUGAUGAAUCUACAGCUUCAACCUCAUUUCAACCACAACCAGUACAACCACAACAGGGAUACAUGCCCCCAAUGGCACAACCAGGAUUGCCUCCUGUGCCAGGUGCACCAGGAAUACCCCCAGGUAUACCACCCUUGAUGGCAGGUGUUCCACCAAUGAUGCCAGGAAUGCCUCCAGUUAUGCCAGGAAUGCCACCUGGAUUACAUCAACAGAGAAAGUACAUGCAGUCAUUUUGCGGUGAAAACAUGAUGAUGCCAAUGGGUGGGAUGAUGCCUCCUGGGCCAGGAAUACCACCUCUUAUGCCUGGUAUGCCACCAGGUAGGUCAGUGAUGUCGAACUCGUACUGUGGUAUGCCACCACCUGUUGGUCCUCGCCCUGGUAUGCCUCCCAUGACACAAGCACAGCCUGUGACAGCACCAGGCAUUCUUAAUAGACCUCCAGCUCCUGCUGUAGCAGCACCCUCCCCACAGCCUCCAGUUACGAAACCACUUUUCCCCAGUGCAGGACAGAUGGGGACACCUGUCACAAGUUCAAGUACAGCUUCAUCCAAUUCAGAAAAUCUGUCAGCAUCUUCUAAAGCUCUGUUUCCUAGCACAGCACAAGCUCAGGCAGCUGUUCCAGGACCAGUGGGUACUGAUUUCAAACCUUUGAAUAAUACACCUGCAACAACCACAGAGCCCCCCAAACCUACAUUCCCUGCUUAUACACAGUCUACAGCUUCAACCACUAGCACAACAAACAGUACUGCAGCUAAACCAGCUACGUCUAUAACAAGUAAGCCUGCUACCCUUACAACAACCAGUGCAACCAGUAAGUUGAUCCAUCCCGAUGAGGAUAUAUCACUGGAAGAGAGAAGGGCACAGUUGCCCAAAUAUCAACGUAAUCUUCCUCGACAAGGACAGGUAUCAAUGGGCAAUCCAUCAGUUGGAUCACUUGGAGGUAUGAUGCCACCACAACCUGGAAUUCCUCCUCAGCAGCAGGGAAUGAGACCUCCCAUGCCUCCUCAUGGUCAGUAUGGUGCUCAUCACCAAGGCAUGCCAGGAUACCUUCCUGGAGGGAUGCCUCCAUAUGGUCAGGGACCUCCAAUGGUGCCCCCUUACCAAGGUGGACCUCCUCGACCUCCAAUGGGAAUGAGACCUCCUGUAAUGUCGCAAGGUGGCCGCUACUGAUGCUACUACACACAGUCUAAUAGGUUUUUAGAAGUGAAGUAUAGUAAAUAUGGUUCGUUAAAUUGUGAAGGCGCUGGAAUUACAUGAACAUACCAUCUUAAAGCUGUGGACAACUGCCUGCAAGGUUUGUACAGAUGCAUGCCACAGUAGUUAUUGGUGUAAUAAACGCAUAUUUACUGCUGCUGUUUUGAUAUACUCUAAUUCUUGUUUGAACUUUGUCACUUAGCUGCAUGUUGUAGUCUCCUAAGCAAGUAGACAUAGACCUGUACACUUAUUAACUAACUUAAAAAAAAAUGAUUAAUAGGAAUGAGAUUACGGGUUACAUCUCACCUAUCGUUUAUAAUUUGUUUAAAAUGGUGCAGGUUUCUUUAAUAGGCCUUUCCUCUUGUCCGCAAUAAAUCUUAGAUGACUUGUAACAUUGGCACUUUCACAUGUUAGCAAGAUGUAAUUGUGACCCCUGGCUGAUGUAAAUCAGAGUGCCAGAUGCAUCCUGUUAGUUCUUUCUUCAGAUAACUUUCUUGGAUGUGUGACUGCAUCAAUGCAUGAACCUCAGGAGCCAUUCAGGAGAAAACUUCUAGAAGCUUAGGUGCAUGACACACAGUGAGUGACUUUCUUGCUGCUGUAUUGAAAGUGACCUGCAAAAAGGAAAAAUAGGCCGUUGCCCUUGUUUUGCCUCUAUGAUGUGCAAAGGCGGCUCACAAGUAUGAGAUUUUGUUUUUUGCUUUUACCAUAAAUAUCAGGAAUUUCAAAUCUGAUUGUCUCUGGGUGGUGCUGCUGGUUGGACACAAGAUGACUCGUGGAUUGAGAAUUUUCUCAUCCCUUUAAGUGCCUGGGGUGUUGAACCUCUGAGGCUCUUCUCCCAAGUGUCUUAAUUACUUAGUUAACAAAUCAGAAUUUUGAAUCUGAAUUAGUCUCUUACCCUCUUACUCAGAUUAAUUUCCUUGUUAUGACCUAUAUCUUGUUGCUUUAGUUGACUAGUCUUCCAGUGUUGGAGAGCUAAGUUUCUAAUGGAAAAAUACAAACAUGGGGAGAACACUUUUUGUGAUGGGAGGGCUUCCAGGUGUUUUAAACAUCAAGAAGCAGAAAAUGGCAAAUGUUGCUUUCCUUUGCAGGUCAACUUUAAAUACAAGGUCCAGCCACAAAUUAUAUUUUAUCUGUGCCACUUGUGUUGUGGUGAUACUCAUUUCCCUUGUUUUUCCAUCGCAGAGGCUGACAAGCUUUACCACUAGUUUGGUCAUCAGUGUAGUAGGUUUUCCUGUUUUUUUUUUUUCUGGAACUAAGCAUUGUGGCUUAGUCUUAUUUUUGGAAGAGAGAUCUUUGGUUUUUUACAGCUAUGGUUUGUACCAGGAACUUGACAUUCCUUUACUUUCAUGCUCCAUCUUUUCAGUCUGCAAAUCUUUAAAUUAAAGAUAUUCAGAACAUUAUGCUGUCUUCCAGUAGAGUAUGUGGCCCCAUGGAACUCAUUAUAUAGUGUCUCAGGUUCUUUGGCAUCUUAAUUUCUAGUUAUAUGGCCUUGGUUUAACAACUUAGAAAUUUAUCUGGCAAAUCUCCAGAAACUUGUAUUAAUCUUAAGCAAGAUCCAUAGCUCUCCGGAUGUCAUAAAGAAGCAUUUUUCUAGGCACUAGAUACCAUUUACCUGCUGGCCAUCUGUCAGCUAACAUGUAGAAUAAAUAAGCAGACUCAUUCAGUAAUUUGCUUGGAAAUGCAUUAUGAACGGGCCUUGAGUUUUCAGGUUCUCUUCCCCCCCCCACCCAAGUCCUUCACCCUUUUCCAUUUCUCUGCAAUCGUAAUUUAAUAUGUCCAUUCUUGUACUCCAGAUGGAAGCUGGUUGUCUUCUGUAUUUCUUCUGAUCCCAAGGAUAAUUCAAAAAAUAAACAUUAAAGCUAUCAUAA